UGGAUAAUUUUUGAGCUCCAAAUCUAUUUUCGCACCCAAAAGCCUACCGCGAAUGCUAUCAUCGCCAUCGAAAUCUAUUGCACAACGAGUAUAAUAGUUUCUUACCGUAACAUUUCUUUGCAAAUUAAUGACAAGUUUGUAUGCAAUAUAGAAAUUGUCCUUAACCACACCAAUAGUGUAAUUUGCAAGAUCAACAAGAUCUACAUUUUUUGCUCCU
rnacentral:lncRNA from 1 species